rnacentral:ncRNA from 1 species
UUAAAUGCUUUGACGAGGAAGAGUAGUGAUUUCCAGUAGAUAAACAGAGAGCUCUGUAAGCUGAGAGGGGCAGUACUGGAAGUGACGAAAGUAACCUUUGAGCUAUCUGCUGAAUGAAGUAGGCGGGAUUGGGAGUGCCCAUUAUCGCACCAACGCAUCAAUAAUUAGAAGAAUGAGCUUGCUCGUUUGCCUUCUGGUUUAUCGGUUUUAUAAAGAAGUCACAUUCUGCUUUUAAUUAUAUGUGCGCGGCAGAGGCAUUUGCGGAGACGCAAAUGUAAAACAAGAGGUGGUAACACGCGAAAGCGUCCUUGUG